GAUUAAAUGGCUGAAAUUUAGGCAAUAGACUGUAAAUCUAUUUAUAAGAUUAUUUUCUUUUUAAUCA
rnacentral:tRNA from 1 species